GGUGGCUCAGUGGUAGAAUACUUGCCUUGCAAGCAUGAGGCCCUGGGUUCGAUUCCCCAGGACCA
rnacentral:tRNA from 1 species